CGCAGGCAGCGGUCAGGGGAGGUGAAGCCCUGUCAUUUACCAACUACACUGGCCUCGCUGCUCUUCCAAUCAUAUCAUAGGUUACAACAUAUACAGGCGUUAUAUUCAUUUCUACCGAAGGUUUAUCAUAGUACACUAAAUGCUCACGUAAAAUUGGAUUGCGUCGGAGAGAAAACGAUUGUGGGGAAAAAGCACGGUAACUUUGGAAAGGACUGAAGGGAAGGAUGGACAACUCAAAAGCGCAAAUGAUGGUUAUUUCUGUCGGCACGACGCACAAAGAAUCCUGGACCGACUCGGACAGCAUAUCCCGAGAGAGCCAUGUUUCUCUGAAACAGACUAUGUUACAAUCCCUGAUGUCUCUCUGGAAAGCAACCCUUGCCCUAAUUUUGUCUACCUUGUUAUCUAGAGACUGGACAUUAGUGAGUAAUGUACUCGAAAGCAGUGGGUGGUGUGCGUGCCUCCAAAGUCUGAUCAGAAUGCCUCUCCGUCUUCCUCUUCUGCGGCGACAUUGUUUUGUGUCGACCUCUGGAAUCAGUUCAAAUGCCCUGGGUGGUUCGGACAAAGGAUCCGCUUUGGGAAUGUUGUUGUGCUGAGCCUGACCUCCCAGGACAUGUCGAGCCGUAGAGGACUGAGCCUCAGCCCACAGGUCCAGGUCCAGCUGUUUAUCCUGCUCCAGUAUCAGACCCUGGUCCACCACUGCAAGGCCAUGGUCCCCAGAGCAGUUAACCAGGCCAACCUUAAAAACACACCAGGAGCACCUGGUAACCCAACCUCAUACACACUAGGAGCACCAGACUAUGUUUCAAACCCCUCCGUCCCUGACUCCAAUGCUGGCACACCGUCCAACCAGAACCUCUGUACGACAAGAAGAACCAAUCAGACUCCAGAACAUUGGGAUACUAACCCAAUGAGAGGACAGAUCCAGCUAAUUAUACUCCAGAAUUCUGAGACCCCAACCAACCAGAACCUCUGUAGGACAUCAUCAGCCAAUCUCUGAUGUACUCUGGACAAUGGAAUAUCCAACCUGAGACUGCACAAUUCAGCUUUGGCCCUGAUGGACUCAAAGCAAGCUGAGGACAGCCAUACCAUAACAAAAUCCAUUGGCUAGAAAGCCAUGAUGAUGACUUCACAUCAAUGUCUGGGGUUGAUCAUAGACUGCUGAUAUAGCUGGACGGAGUGAUACUGUACUGUCACAACGUGGCCCUUUUGGGUGUAUAUCGUGGCUACCCCCCUCUCUCACUCUCUCUCCCACCAUAAGUUUUACAACGGUCAUAAAUUCUUGGGAGAAACUCUCUUCGCUGCCAUGGAGUAUUGAGGGAUAGAGCCUAUGGAGAACAAAUACAUUCUUGUUGCCAAAACUCCUAAUCCCCAAAAUUUGAGAAUUAAACAAUAUUUAUAGUUUUGAGAAUGUGGGAAUGGUCCAUGGACACUUAAGGGACAGUCAUGUCGAGUUUGUUUCAUUUGGUGAUCUCAUGAGGGACAGGAAACACACGUUACUGUGUCUUUGGUUGCGUAAACUUCUCAAUUAUGGGGUUUGCAUCUGAUGGUUGUAUAAAAUAUAUGAGUGAAUAUGAAACAAUUUGUGAGAAGAUGUAAUGUGAUGUUGGCCUUCUAAAUGAGAUACUUGUUUAGAUAUAAAGUUUUAACUGGUCAGUGGCCACACCCCUUGAGCUCAGCCAUCACAUCAUGCGUCAUGGCCCCUUCAUGGGUAUAAAAUCACUCAUGACAAAAUGUACAUUUUAUGCCAAAGAGACCCAAAGUAAGCCGGACGUCUCAAAUGGUUAAGAAAUCUACAAACUAGAGUAAAAAAUGCAGGAACGGGAGUUCCCACUUUGAAAUGGCUAUUACUACUCCAAACCAAAACAUGACAGAUGACGCUGGUGUGUAGAGGAGUUUGAACCAGAGACCGGAAAACAUGGAAGCUGUCGCUACAUGUUGAAAUGGUUGGCAACUCUACCAAAGGACAAGACCAGAGAACGUGGAGAUCAUUCCCACGUUGAAAUGGCUAAGAAAUCUACAAACUAAAGAACAAUUAUUCAGGCUGCAACUGUUUAAAUACUUUAGUCUGAUAAACACAUCCGAUCUAAGAACAUUUCCGAAACAACCUAAAACUCCGACAGAAUUUGAUCAAACUGAACAAACUGACUAUCCAGCAGAUGGCCUGGCAAUCGCAGACAACCAAGACAUACACUUGUAAAUAUGUAAAUUGCAAUUUAUUUUUGAAUGAGCGGUUGUUCAUGUUCAAAGUAUUAGCAAUUUCUAGGAGUGUAGUUAUCAGCUCUGAGUCUCCCGCUCUUGAGCUGUCCCCACCCCUUUCCUUUGUCUACCAAGCCAUCAUUGGCUUAGCCCACUAGGGGCUUUUCUACCAUGUCAGUAACCAAUGUAUGACCUAUUGUGUUUGUGUUUAUGUAAUUCUGUGAUUGAUUACAUUAGUUAGUAAAUCAAUAAUUAAGCCAAUUUGUAUAUCGCUGAUUCAUGAUCUAUCUUAGGGUUCGUGCAGAUAUCCAAGGGUUUGCUACGUUCAGUAAUGAGACUGAUGAGGUAAUAAUACAUGAAUAAGUGACUGUAAUCAAUAAGAUAUGACAAUAUUGGAAGAGUUCA
ensembl:lncRNA